AUGCAGAAAGAGUGCAUGGAGGAGGCCAUGGCAAAGAAGCGCGCCGUGGGGGACCAGAUUGCGGUCUGGCUUAACCCCGAACUAGGUGACAUGGGGGAGGAGGAGAUGAUGGCCUUCGCCGCCAAGCUGAUGCCGGUGCGGGUCGCCGUCUCUGAAUGUGCAAACCAGGUACUCCUGAACCUGGGGAUGGAGAACAUCCUUCGCGCGUUCCAGGCGCCUGGGGUGCCACUGCCGCAACAGCACUUUGGUGGAAGUACCCUUGAGUUUGGUAGCACCAGCACUAACACUGGGAUGGAGAUGCAGCAGAUGCAUAUGGCGAUGCCUCCAACUCAAGGAUUCGCCAUAGGGAUGGAUACACACCAUAUGCCAAUGGCGAUGCCUCCGCCGGGCUUGGCCUAUGGCAUGAAUAUGCAGCAGAGUCUUAUGUCGAUUCCUCCACCGUCCAGGUUUGGCGCUGGGAUGGAGAUGCAACAUAUGGUUAUGGUGAUGUCGCCGCAACAAGGGUUUGCCGCCGGGACGGAGAAGAAGCAGGUGACUAUGGCGAUGCCACCGUCGGAGUUCCCUGCUGAUAUGGAGAUGCCGCCACCCAUGGGGAUAGCCACUGGGAUAGAGAUGGUGCAGCAGGCAACUGGGACGAACAUGGGGUUCCCAUUCUGA
rnacentral:rRNA from 1 species